GCAAGUCGAGCGGACAGAUGGGAGCUUGCUCCCUGAUGUUAGCGGCGGACGGGUGAGUAACACGUGGGUAACCUGCCUGUAAGACUGGGAUAACUCCGGGAAACCGGGGCUAAUACCGGAUGGUUGUUUGAACCGCAUGGUUCAAACAUAAAAGGUGGCUUCGGCUACCACUUACAGAUGGACCCGCGGCGCAUUAGCUAGUUGGUGAGGUAACGGCUCACCAAGGCGACGAUGCGUAGCCGACCUGAGAGGGUGAUCGGCCACACUGGGACUGAGACACGGCCCAGACUCCUACGGGAGGCAGCAGUAGGGAAUCUUCCGCAAUGGACGAAAGUCUGACGGAGCAACGCCGCGUGAGUGAUGAAGGUUUUCGGAUCGUAAAGCUCUGUUGUUAGGGAAGAACAAGUACCGUUCGAAUAGGGCGGUACCUUGACGGUACCUAACCAGAAAGCCACGGCUAACUACGUGCCAGCAGCCGCGGUAAUACGUAGGUGGCAAGCGUUGUCCGGAAUUAUUGGGCGUAAAGGGCUCGCAGGCGGUUUCUUAAGUCUGAUGUGAAAGCCCCCGGCUCAACCGGGGAGGGUCAUUGGAAACUGGGGAACUUGAGUGCAGAAGAGGAGAGUGGAAUUCCACGUGUAGCGGUGAAAUGCGUAGAGAUGUGGAGGAACACCAGUGGCGAAGGCGACUCUCUGGUCUGUAACUGACGCUGAGGAGCGAAAGCGUGGGGAGCGAACAGGAUUAGAUACCCUGGUAGUCCACGCCGUAAACGAUGAGUGCUAA
rnacentral:rRNA from 1 species